GAUGAACGCUAGCGGCAGGCCUAAUACAUGCAAGUCGAACGGUAACAUGAGAGCUUGCUCUUGAUGACGAGUGGCGCACGGGUGCGUAACGCGUAUGCAAACCUACCUAUUACAGGGGGGAUAGCCCGAAGAAAUUCGGAUUAAUACCCCAUAGUAUAACUAGAAGGCAUCUGAAAGUUAUUAAAGAUUUAUCGGUAAUAGAUGGGCAUGCGUAAGAUUAGCUAGUUGGUGAGGUAACGGCUCACCAAGGCCACGAUGUCUAGGGGAUCUGAGAGGAUUAACCCCCACACUGGUACUGAGACAGGGACCAGACUCCUACGGGAGGCAGCAGUAAGGAAUAUUGGACAAUGGUGGCAACACUGAUCCAGCCAUGCCGCGUGAAGGAUGAAGGCCCUAUGGGUUGUAAA
rnacentral:rRNA from 1 species